GUCCAUUCGCGCACAUCUCUACUUGACGUACGAAGUCCGAAAAGGAGAGGAAGUGGGUGUUUGUGUGUUAUUAUUGUCAAACAACGGAAAGUCGCUCGUUACAUUGGGGGUGUAUGAUCUCAUAAAAAAGGAUUUGAAUCGUUUGAAUGGUUGUGCCAUGCCGGCAGCAGCUAAAUUAAGGAAAUAUGAAGAACAGUUUGAGAAACCAGAUGUUGAAAUCUGCAUGUGGAUAGACAGUACAGUAUUGUAACAUUUCGCAGACGUGAACAAGUUGUCAGUAUAGUUCUGUUGCAGGAUAUGUUGUAAUGUUGAAUUGCAGUGUAUACGGACUCCCACUGACAGUGAAGUCAAGAAAUAUCAGUCUAGGGCUGUAAUUAUACUAAGCGUGCAAAUACUCUGAAGAAGUGCAGAUUACAAUGUCACCAAGACCUGGUAUGCCUCCAGGCACGAGUACUGACGCACCACCAUCACCGCCUCCCAAUGAACCGCCGUCACCGAGACAGAUGAAAUGUGCUGAAGGGUUGCCAGAGCCUCCUGGUCUAAAUGAAGUUGAGAUAAUUCUCAGACCUAAUCGUACCUUAAUGGGAAGGAAUUGCACAGUCGUUAAAUCAUUAAAAUUGAGAGCUACACGUUACCUUCGAACGACGAUUAAUGCUUCAAUUGAUCACUUGAAGGAGUACUUGCAGUAUUGUUUGUCACGUGACCUACAAUGUGAUAUUAAAGUGGCAGACAUGUCUAUUUAUGUACAACCAGCACCUCAUGGCCCGAUGAUUGAAGUUAAGGGAACCCAGACAAUCCGUUGUGUCCGGUACAAGUACUGGAGGUUUAGCUUAUCACCUAUUACACUUUAUUAUUACUGCAAGAAAGGCUGAUUUCACAGUAUUCACCUACAUUUUUCAGGCAUGAAUGUACAGUAAUGAAAAAAGGACUCUGAAAUGGACAUUGAGACAACCCAUAAUUCAUUUAUAAAAUGAUGAGCAAUAAAAGUGUUUGUAUAAUGGUUAUGAAAACUAGUAUUUUGAGAGAUUUCACGUGUGAAAAAGAUUUGAGCAUAUGUGAGACUACUUGGGAGUGCACAGAAUUUGGCUGUGCAUUAGAGAUUGUCAGUAGUGAUAAACUGUAAGUAAGUUUAAGUUAUCUUGCUAUAUUUCAUCAGUUGCAAGGAAUGUAAGACCUAUUCAUUUGUAUAAAGAAAGUGGUCUCUUGUACAUAAUUACUAGUCAGAAUUCAUAUAUUACUGGAAAAUAUAUUAUUUUAAACCAAACAUAGAACACUUGACACAGUCUAGUUACCCCCAAGACUAAGCAUACACCAAGUUAAAUAUUUCUGUAACAGACCUCAUCUAAAUGCUUUCCCAACUUCUUGAAACUAGAUGCAGGUAGUCUACAAGACUAGUUACCUUAUAUCUUUUUUCCUUGAUUUUCAUUCUUUCCUUCCCUCCUUCAAUUCGUUUUAUCUGAUCUUUUAACCUGUUAUAGGUAAUGCUAUUCCAUAUUUGUCUGGAACCAUAACUGUAGGGUCAUGUAGCAGCAAUAAUAUAAGGCCUUGAUGACAACAGAAACAGUCAUUGACUGCUCUAGGGUAACUUUACUGAUUCAAAUUUCAGUGCUAUUCAUUCACAAUGAGACAACCCACACAUGCAUAACAAUAAAACCCUUUACAGUCACAAUUUCUACUGGAAGAGACAGACUGAUUAUAGGAAGUGAGAGAGAGAAUCUGUAACAUAUCUUGCUCUGCUGUGACAAUUGAGGGACUGUACAUGUCGGCUGUUGACUAAAUUAAAAAAGCCAACCCCAGUAAAUGAGCAUAUUUGCUGCUCACUGAAAAGUAUUUUAUCAAAGUAAUAUUUGCAGUCUAGGAAUGUAACACUGUUGUGUUAUAUAAUAGUCCAGUGUAGUCAUUCACUUCCUAAAAGUGCAUAUGAAAUCUAAUGCUAAACAGUAAUCCAAAUAAUAUCCAUUUAAUGUCUAGAAUCUUGUGCAAGUAGUUAGGUGGUUACACAUUACAACAGCUUUCUGCACAUUUUGUCUCGACACUCGGUGUUGUCAUUGCAUUAAUAAAAGAUGCACUCAUACAACUGUAGUGUGCAUUUUCACAUAUUUUAAUGUAAUUUUUAAGCAUGUUAAUGGAGAAAAUUGUAACAGACUGAAGUCCCAUGUAAAUAUUAACAACUUUAGAAACUCUCUCUUCCUAUCCUUUCAUUCAAUAUUACUAGAUUUCUUAAUACUGAAUGAGUCAUCCACAAUGUGUGUACCACAUCAGUAGACAUGUAUUCAAUGGUUAAACGGUAGGCAGUCAGCUUUAAGAAGUGAUUGUGCCUCUGUUUAUGCGGUCCUUAUAAUGAAUGGUGGCUGUUUAUUGUUCUGUCCAAUCUUGGUACUCUACUACAUGCACUGGUUGACUGCUAAAACUGUGCAUGUUCUGUUAGUGGGUGAUGCAUGUUUCUUAAAUUUAUAUUUUCAUUGUAUAUUACCAGCAAGAUCAAUCAUUGUGAUAACAUUCUCAGAUAAACACUAAUAGUGAUGGAUUUGCAUGUUUUACAUGACCACUGUUUUGUUUUUAACAAACCUAAUUCAAUUUUCAAAUGUCGACAUAUCACGUCUUCUAAAUUUUUCGGUGGUUAAGUUCAGUUUUCAUUUUUUUAUCGUCCAAGGAAUUAUUACUAAUAAAGUUCUUGAGCCCUAAGGAAGUUACUUCUGGCUUUUAUAAUCAACUGAUAAGAUAUCAGGAAAGUCAUUGUACAUGGGAAGUUCCUCACCUACGAAUAAGUAUUGUAGGUAUGGGAAAAAAAAGACUUGUGUUCUCUCGUGCAAGUGAUUUUUGAUUUUGAUAGACCAGAUCCAACUUCAGUGAUAAUUCUACAGCAUAUGAGGUUAGCCAUACAGCAGGUAGUAUGCAUUUGAUAAUAUCUUGACUAGUGCAGCAUUGGUGCAUUUUCAGUUCUGAAUUAUAAUGCAUGUUAAAUACUUUAUCAUUGUGAGUUAGAUAUCUAACUUAAUUUGAACUAGUAUCAGUAGGAUGUGGGUAUGAGUGUGGGGAAGGGCAUGUGGAAAGAGGCUAUUGAAAAUGAUUGUCAUAUGUUAAUCAUUGCAGUUAAUAAGAUUCAUCAUCUUAUGGGGUAUCCAUUGCAGUACUUCUGGAUGAGUGAUAAUAUCAGAAUCUUUAACAAUACAGUACUCUGUAAGUACACAAGAUUAGAGAAACAGAUGUAUGCAAGCACUCAAUCUGCUAUAAGAAAUUUGAAUUUUACAGCCUUGACAUUUACUUGUAGCUAAACAUAUGAAAGAUGUUAUUAAUACUUACAGCAAUUUACAAACUGAUUGACUAAAAAUUAUGGUAUUAAAAAGUAGAGUUUGAGUCAAAGAACAAUUAUUUAAUCUGAUUGGAUUAUUAGUACACUGGUCAGCUCUAUUAAUUUAAUUUUAAUAAUAGAAACUAGUACAUUCUGAAAUCCACUAUAAGUCCUCUAAUUGCAAUGCAAUACAGAAUCACAUACAUUAAUUUUCCCUUCUUAUAAGUCUAUAUAUUUAUUAUUGUUGUUGUUUUCUGUCUGAAGACUGAUUUGAUGCAGCUCCCUAUACUACACCAUCCUGUGCAAGCUACAUCCUUUCAAAUCUGCUUACUGUGAUCAUCUCUUGUUCUCUCUCUACAAUCUCCCUCCCCCUCCCUACUUACCUCCAGUACUAAAUUGGUGAUCCCUUGAUGUCUCAGGAUGUGUCCUAUUAACCAAUCCCUUCAUUUAGUCAAGUUGUAGCAUAAAUUUCUUUUCUCCUCUCAUUAGUUACAUGAUCUACCCAUCUAAUCUUCAGCAUUUUUCUGUAGCACCAUAUUACAAAGGUUUCUGUUCUCUUCAUGCCUAAGCUGUUUAUGAGCUCUGUUUCAUUUCCAUAUAUGGUUAUGGUGCAGACAAAUACCUUCAGAAAAGACUUCCAAACAUCUAAAUGUGUAUCCGAUAUUAACAAAGUUCUCUUCUUUAGCAAUGCUUCUCUCACUAUUGCCAGUCACAUUUUAUGUCCUGUCUAGUUUGGCCAUCAUUAAUUAUCUUACUGCCCAUAUAGCAAAACUUGUUUCCUACUUAUAGUGUCUAAUUUUGUAAUCUAAUUCCAGACUACAUUCCAUUACUCUUGUUUUGCUUUUGUUGGUGUUAUUCUUAUAUCCUCCUUUCAAGACGCUGUCCAUUCUGUUCAACUUCUCUUCCAAGUCCUUUGCUGUCAUUGAUAAACCCUAAAAGUUUUUAUUUCUUUUCCAUGAACUUUAAUUCCAUCGUUGUUAGUUACUUUCAUGUUCCAUGGAUCAUUUUGCACAAUAAAUUAUAAUGCUGUGGAAUGAAUUUUACAUUUACAUCGCAAAUUAAUUUGUAAAUGUGGCUACAUGCUGAACAUUUGUAAUUUUUUAAAAAUAAAUAUACAGAUGUGAGUUAAUAAUUCCUAUCCCACACAUUUUAAACAUUACAGAAAUAGCACUUCUUCUGCGGAGUAGGAGGAGUUGUCAAGGAGAAACUAUUUCAGUUUUAUUUUUAAAUUUCUUUGGCGUUGCUUAGACAUUUUAUAUCACUGGGUAAGUGAUCAAAAAUUUUAACUACUGCAUUAUGCUACGUUUUCUGUGCUAAAGUCAACUUUAAUAUGAAGUAAUGAGUGUCAUUUUUCCUUCUGGUAUUGUGGUUAUGUACAUCAUUGUUUCUUUUGAACUGCAGUGGAUUAUUUACAACAAACUUCAUGAGGGAAUAAGUAUACUGUGAAGCAGUAGUCAGAAUAUGUAACUCCUUAAACAGAUGUCUACAAGAUGAUCGUGGGUGAGCAUCUCAUGUUAUUAUUAGAGCAUGUUUUCUUUCUUAAAGAUUUGUUUCUCCAAAACUUUGUUCCAUAGGACAUCAGUGAAAGAAAAGAUCCAAAAUAUGUCAACUCACUGAUUUGUCUCUCCCAAAGAUUCACUAUGAUUUUAAGUGCAAAAGUGAAGUAAGUUUUUUUGUGUUUCAAAUUUUUAUUUGGUGUCCUUUACUGCUUGCUCAGUGUACAGAUUGAAUAACAUUGGGGAUAGGCUACAACCCUGUCUGUCUCCUCUCAACCACUGCUUCCCUUCCAUGCCCCUUGACUCACAUAACUGCGGUGUGGUUACUGUGCAAGUUGUAAAUAACCUUUUGUCCCCUGUAUUUUACCUUGACUGCCUUCAAAAUUUUAAAGCCUUUAUUCCAGUCAGCAUUGUCAAAUACUAUCUUUAAACCUACAAAUGCUAUAAAUGUAAGUUGGCCUUUAUCUUCAAAGGGAAAUUGUAUGGUCAGUAUUGCUUCAGGCGUUCCUGUAUUUUUCAGGAAUCCAAAUUGAUCUUCCCGUGAGGUCACCUCCUACCAGUUGUUCCAUUCUUCUGUAAAGAAUCCACGUUAGGAAUUUUUAACCAUGACUAAUGAAACUGAUAGAUUGGUAAUAUUCACAAAUGUAAAUCCUUAUAUAAAUAUAGUAAAAUUCUGACCUUUUGUGACUGCUUGCUUUCAAAAUUAUUUUCCUUCCCCUGUAAUCAACAUUGCUGUUGCACACUAAUGACUUGGAGGUAGUUGCUUCAAAUCCUUUUGAUGGAAAUUUUCAUCAGCAUUUCACCAACAAAUGUGUAAUCAAACUGUGGAAAUGAAUUAGCGUAAAUUGUGAAUUUGUCAAAGAUUUCCAAUGAAAUGAGAGUAUGUGAUAUUUUUCUUCCCCUGUUUGAAUAGAAUAAACUAAGUUGCACCAUGAGGUUUCAUUCUUUUGCUUCUCUCACAUCAUCAUCAUCAUUAUCAUCAUAAUCACAAGCAACAGAAGCAAUCACCACUAACACGUGAUGUUAUACUGUACAAAACUACUCAGUCACCUGUCAAUAUCUACAGCAUUUACACCAAAGACACAAAUCAUGUUUUGGCACAGAAACAUCUCUAAAGGGUGACAAAUAAAGAAAUCCUUAUAAAUGUAGGCAGCUGAAUGCAUAGAGAGCAUCUCAGCCACCAACACUAUGUAACUGCAUUUUUAACAGGUGCAUCUGAAGAAGGAAUGUAGAAGGAUGUGUAAAUAUAGUUGAGACAUGAAAAUUGCAAGCUGGCAAUCAUAUUUCCUGGAAAGAAUAGUGUGCUGAAAUUACGAAAGAUAUUGAAUCAUUAUUUAAGCGAUACUCGACAUUUUUAAGAAUGACUACAGUUCACAUAACUAUUGAAAAUCUUGUUGAUUUCAAUUGAUGCCACUUUCCGUCUUCACCCAACAGUCCUAGAAGCUUUGGUUAUUAUUUUAUCCGUAAAUAAAUAUUGAAAGAAUUUUUACUUGGCAGAUGGCACUAUAGAUAAUAAUAUAAAAAGGCACUAAAUAUCAGAUUCAGAAAUUGCUUCAUUGGCCAAAUGAAGGGAAUAGGACAGCUGCAUUGUGAAGUAGGAAAGUUGUCAAGGUCAAUUGGGCCCAGUAAGAAGAGCAGUUAUUGUUUUAUGAUUGUUGAAUCCAUUAGUUUUGUUGUAAUACAAUGAGAUUUUAUGAUUUUUACUUCCACUACUAAAGAAACCUGUGGUAGUUCUAGUAUAAAAAUAUCUUUGUUGCAUACAGUGUUGCAUGGACCAUGUUAUAUUUUAAUACUUUAUGAAGUUGAUUAUAUUUGUUUAAAAUAACCUGCUCGGGAACUGUUACAAUUAUAUUUGUUUUCUACACAUUCAUUUCCUUGUUGGUUCCUCGUGACAGCUAAGAGGAAAGAAGCAGUGAUACAUUAAUAUAGACUGAUUUAAAGACCUUGUGUUGAUUCUGCUGCUACCUAUAGUUACAGCAGACUUGAUAGCUGUUCAUAAUUGUUAUGUAGCUCUAUGAAUGCAACUGAGAAAAUGAGUUGAAAUUAUAGAUAAAAUAUGAUGUUAAUUUCAUCUUGAUGUAACAGAAUCAUAUAGAAAUUAAAAGCUUAUUUUGUAUUGAUUUGUCUGAUGUUCUUGUUUGCUCUUCAGGAUUUGUUACAAAUUGUGUCAUUUAUUUUCACAUUGAGCUGUAAAAUCAUAUAUGAAUUAUAUCAUUAGAGAAGUAGCUUCAGUCUUACAUUACUACAUUGUAGGUAGAUGAUGAUGGGUAGCUGACUUUUCUUAAACAUUUGUAUGACAACAAUCAUCUUCAAAGUGAAACCAGAGUAAAAUUUUGUACUGUUCACCAAAAGGUCCUGGAUGCAUACUGACAAAAGAAAAGAAGGGAAAAGCUAGUUGUUGUUACCUUAGGUCUUUUGCUGAGAAAAAAGGUGAGAAAUGGGUUGAAGGAAGUGGGGUGAUGCAGAGUUAAUUUCCCUAAAUCAAAUUAGUUAAAUAUUAGGAUUGAGUAUUCCACAAAGUUAGAGCCAGUUUUCUAUAUGAUUGUAUGCUCUGUAUAACAACAACAUUGCUAAUGGGAUGUCAGUCUCUAAUCUUCCUACCUUUUCAGCAAAGUAGUGUAAACAUCACACAAGAUCCCGGGUCAUGGGAGACAUAGCAGGAAAGAAAGUGACGAAAAUAAACAUUGAAAUACUAGAAAACCAGAAAUAUGGGAAUCACUGAAUAGAGGGAAAUGAUUGGUGUACCAAACUAUUACUGUAUAGUGACAUAUGUGUAUAAGAGAAAUUUCUUCUUGUCCUUGUAUGUGGCAUCUUGACACAUCGUGAUGGUGUUACUAGUGCUAUGUUUCACUAUGAGGAAUUCUGGUAUGAUUGGGUUACAUAUAUGCUGAUAUUCCUGCCAGAAACAAUAUAUUUUCCAGCAAAUUAUUAAUUUGUUUACAAUUUAAACACAGCUUCAGUUUUCAGUAUAAGUAAUAAUUUAUUUUAUACAAAAUUUCUAUAAAAAUUAAAUUUCUGGGAGGUUAAUGUAGUGAAAUUUUGUAGUGUUCAGUCAUAGAACAUGAGAUUCAUGUUGUAUUGCAGAAGGUAGAAUGUAAUUCACUUUCUCAAAUUUCUUUUUCUUUUUUUAUUAAGAGAUAUUUAUUGCCUCUUUCUAAUGCUGGUAUAGAACAUCUGUACACGUCUUCAAAACCUUCUGACUUUUCACUUUUUAGGGAACAUUUCAUCAAAUGGUACUUUCAGAAAUACUCCUCUUGAAAUAUUCAGGAAUAUACGACUGAGGGCAGUUUCUAGGGUAGGC